rnacentral:misc_RNA from 1 species
AAGUCGUAACAAGGUUUCCUUAGGUGAACCUGCGGAAGGAUCAUUAACACGUAUCCAACGUUAAACCCCCAUUCCGUUAGGACGCGGCAAUCCCUGGUAAAUCAUCGCCGAACAGUUUUGAUUCAGGUACCUCUGCAUGGAGUGGGCAGCAGCGCGAGGCAAGUGACCUGGCAUUCCUCUGCUUGUUGGUGUCUGAAAGUGUCACUAGCUCUGUAAGAAUGGCGCAGUAACGAUCGGGGCUCACGCCCCCCUAUCACCUUUGCAUGAAAACGGGCCUGCGCUUAAUUGUGCGGCCACCAAACUCGAACAACUGUUAACAAUGGAUAUCUUGGUUCUC